UACGGAGGGUGCAAGCAUUGUUCGGAAUUACUGGGCGUAAAGGGCGCGUAGGCGGCUCUGAAAGUCAGCUGUGAAAUUCUGGGGCUCAACCCCAGAGCUGCAUUUGAAACUCCAGAGCUUAGAGGAUGGUGAGGGAAAACGGAAUUCCACGUGUAGCGGUGAAAUGCGUAGAUAUGUGGAAGAACACCAGUGGUGAAGACGGUUUUCUGUGCCAAACCAGACGCUGAAGCGCGAAAGCUAGGGGAGCAAACAGG
rnacentral:rRNA from 1 species